rnacentral:rRNA from 1 species
UACGGAGGAUCCGAGCGUUAUCCGGAAUUAUUGGGUUUAAAGGGUGCGUAGGCGGCCAUUUAAGUCAGCGGUGAAAUUUUGCAGCUUAACUGUAAGAGUGCCGUUGAUACUGUUUGGCUAGGAUUUGGUUGUAGUGUGCGGAAUGUGUGGUGUAGCGGUGAAAUGCUUAGAUAUCACGAGGAACUCCGAUUGCGCAGGCAGCUUACUAAACCACUACUGACGCUCAGGCACGAAGGCGUGGGGAUCAAACAGGAUUAGAUACCCU